rnacentral:rRNA from 1 species
UAACACGUGGGUAACCUGCCCAUCAGAGGGGGAUAACAUUCGGAAACGGAUGCUAAAAACCGCAUAGGUCCUUUAACCGCAUGGUUGAAGGAGGAAAAGAGGCGCAAGCUUCUGCUGAUGGAUGGACCCGCGGUGCAUUAGCUAGUUGGUGAGGUAACGGCUCACCAAGGCCGUGAUGCAUAGCCGACCUGAGAGGGUGAUCGGCCACAUUGGGACUGAGACACGGCCCAA